rnacentral:misc_RNA from 1 species
GCUGCUGAUGCCAAGUUCACUUUUCCUGUAAUAGACCUUGGAGGCGUUGAUCAAGAUUUAGCUUUGCGCAAGGAGAUUGUUGACAAGGUACGAAAUGCUUCAGAGACUUGGGGAUUUUUUGAAGUGAUCAAUCAUGGGAUUCCUGUGACUGUCCUGGAGGAGAUGAAGGAUGGGGCUCAUACGUUUUACCAGCAAGAUAUUGAGGUGAAACAGGAGUUUUACUCUCGUGAUCUCACGAAAAAGAUUGUGUACAAUAGCAACUUUGAUCUGUACAAUUCCCCAUCAGCUAAUUGGAGAGAUACUAUUGUUUUUCAAAUGGCACCUGAUCCUCCCAAGCCAGAAGAGCUGCCAACUGCAUGCAGGUAAGCAUCAAAACUAUCUAAUUUCUGUCAAAUUUUAAUAUGUGACCUGCUCACUUUCGGACAGUUAUUCUUUUCUGAGAUUCUAUCAUGUUUUGGGCUUGGAGAUGAAAUCAAAAUAAAAUCUUGGAAAUAUUAUGUUUAAUUUCCUUCUUCUAAUUUAUAAAAAGAAUUUUCUAAACAAAAUUUAUUGUGCAGAGAUAUAGUAGUUAAGUACUCCAAGGAAGUUAUAAAAUUGGGAAAUUUACUAUUCCAGUUAUUAUCAGAGGCUCUUGGUCUGAAUCCAAACCACUUGAAAGACAUGGAU